UACGGAGGGAGCUAGCGUUGUUCGGAAUUACUGGGCGUAAAGCGCACGUAGGCGGCUUUUUAAGUCAGGGGUGAAAUCCCGGGGCUCAACCCCGGAACUGCCCUUGAAACUGGAGAGCUAGAAUCUUGGAGAGGCGAGUGGAAUUCCGAGUGUAGAGGUGAAAUUCGUAGAUAUUCGGAAGAACACCGGUGGCGAAGGCGGCCUGCUGGGCUAUGGCUGACACUGAGGCGCGACAGCGUGGGGAGCAAACAGG
rnacentral:rRNA from 1 species